rnacentral:lncRNA from 1 species
GUUUUUAAAGAUUGUUUUAUUUAUGCAUUUAAGGUUGACAGCAUGAGCAGGGGGGAGUGGGAGAGGGAGAAGCAGACUCCCAGCUGAGCAGGCAGCCCGACAGGGGGCUCCAUCCCGGAACCCUGGGACCGUAGACCCAAGCCGAAAGCAGACGCUUCACUGACCGAGCCCCCCCAGACGCCCCUAGAGUGCAGCUAUUAAGAACAGGUAGAGCUGUAUAAUCUGGAAUGAAAGGUCCUGCCUAGGUUCCGAAGGAAGGUGCAGAAUCCUGUGGGACGUGCUCAGAACGGGGCUCUGACCUACAUGCCUGAUGUGCACAGAAUAUCCUGGAAAGAUGUGUCUGCCCCAGGGAGGGAGACGGGGCCAGGGGUGCUCAGGGAUCUAGGGGUGUUUGUACUGUUUGCAGUUUGCCAAGUACAUGCAUUUUUUUAAGGCUGUAACAAUAGCGUGUCCAUCAUGUGCUCGCCCUGCUCAGGAGCGUCUCUGGGAGCAGGCUCCAGCUUCCGCCAGCUACGACUCCCUAGUGCGCGCCACACCCUUCUGCUCUCGGGCGGCCUUCAUCCCCCCGCCCCCGACUUGCACUGCUGUUUUGUUCAGACCUCUGUUGCAAAGCACUCUCCUCUGAGGACCAGCCCGCACAGCCAGGUGUGCGCCCCGCUCCUGGAUAUUGUUUCCAAUGCCGGGACCCCCAGCCGCAUGUGAGGGCAGCACGGCUUUCCAGCUGCAGGGCGCUUCUGUUUUCUCUCUUCGGCGAGCAUUUACAGAAACAUUAGGACCGCGUGCCGGCUUGAUCACUGGUGGUGGACAUUUUUUUAAAAUGGUCAACACUUGGCUCCUUAAGAUGAAGCUGAUGAGAGAGGGAUGAAUUACCGGUUUGUUCGGACGGUGACUGUUGGAUACUACACGCAGCUGAUGGUGUAGGACCCGGAGCUAUAGUGUAUGUUCCGGUCGGAUGCCCUGGACGAGAAGCAGUGAGUCCCUCUGGAAAGACUGACCUUGGCUCAACUCUGAGAAGCACAUUAUCUUCCAGACACAGGUUCCACCAGAUACGUUGCUAUAGCAACCCUGCUUCUGCCAGAUGUUCCUGCUGCCUUUUCAUCCCAGCAGCAACGGUUUUGGUGGUUCUCAGACGUGGCCUUGUCCCCGACUUCCCUCACUCGGAUUCCCUGGCAGAAUCCCGAUGUCCUCCAGGAGCCCGUCCUCUGAGGUUGGACCGCAUUGGGCUGAUAGAUCCAAGCUGUGAAGUCUCGCUCUUCGUUAUGGAAACGGAAAAGAUGGCAGAGAGCCCCUUCCUUGAGACUCCGUGUGGUAGAAAUCGGCACGUGUCCGCCGUCCGAGGCGUUGCUCUGCUAAGAGCGGUGCGCGGGGGCUCCAGGGCCCGGGAGCGUGACCUGCAGACAGGGACGCGGUCCGGAGGCGCAGAUGCUGACGCCAGCCGGUGAGAAGCAAACGAGCAGAAACUGGCCCCGUGGGUCAUGGCCUUUCUCCUUCUGCGCGUACCGAGUGCGUCCCUGACGGCUUCUGUGGGCUCGGGAAUGG